rnacentral:lncRNA from 1 species
CGACGGAACAAAGAACGAAACUUUACGACAGCUUUUUCAUAAACGUUCACUUGCAUCACAUCAUCUUCAACCAACCUCCACCCGAGAAGCCCAUGGGAUCCGCUCUACAGAUACCAUCAAAUCCCAGUUUCCGAGAUACCACAUCAGCCCUAUCACCACUAAUCCUAGGUUAUCAGGGGACGCUAGGCAUCGGAAUUCAAAAAGUUCUCUUUUUUUUUGUCAGCGGAUUUCGCUCAUCAAGUUCUUCUUUGAUCUGCCGCUGUUAGAACACCACAAUAUUCGUCUUUUUGGGGUUAAUGUUCUCAAUGGUUAAAUCCCAAUUUUCGAGAUACCAUAUCAGCCCUAUCACCACUAAUCCUAGGUUAUCAGGGGACGCUAGGCAUCAGAAUUCAAAACGUUCUCUUUUUUUUGUCAGCGGAUUUCGCUCAUCAAGUUCUUCUUUGAUCUGCCGCUGUUAGAACACCACAAUAUUCGUCUUUUUGGGGUUAAUGUUCUCAAUGGUGAAUCGAUCAUUCGAUAUCCUUUUCCUUCUGCGACGGAAUGGAAGAAAAGUAAUGAAACCUGCGAUGGCUACUGAAUAACCUCCUUUUACUUUCUCAAUAAUAAAGCCUUUGACCUUUGUAUUCGUUCGCCAAAUCUUGUUCAGUUCCAUCCAAGCUCGGUUUUGUCUGAAUCUUCGUGGAAGAAGAAGAAGCGGUUCACCAGCCACUACAUCUGUAGAUCCCACCAAAUCAUUAAACCUGGCGGCUGCCUAAUGUUCUCAAUGGUGAAUCAAUCAUUCGGUAUCCUUUUCCUUCUGGUACAGAAUAGAAGAAAAUUAAUGAAACCUGCGAUGGCUACUGAAUAACCUCCUUUUACUUUCUCAAUAAUAAAGCCUUUGACCUUUGUAUUCGUUCGCCAAAUCUUGUUCAGUUCCAUCCAAGCUCGGUUUUGUCUGAAUCUUCGUGGAAGAAGAAGAAGCGGUUCACCAGCCACUACAUCUGUAGAUCCCACCAAAUCAUUAAACCUGGCGGCUGCUCGCUCUUUGAUCAGUGAUUCACCGGCCACUAGAUCGAUGAAGAAUCUCUCUAAAAUCUGCUCUUUGAUCAGUGAUUCACCGGCCACUAGAUCCAGGAAUCCCACCUUAUUCUCAAACCUGGUGGCUCGGUUGAUUGGCACUCCUGUAGGCUCAUCUUGCAUACAAAUUCUGGGGGUCCCAAGUCCUGCAUCCACCAAGAACAUUUCUUCCCUUAAGCGUAAAAUUCUUGUUCAGUUCCAUCCAAGCUCAGUUUUGUGUGAAUCUUUGUGGAAGAAGAAGAAGCGGUUCACCAGCCACUACAUCUGUAGAUCCCACCAAAUCAUUAAACCUGGCGGCUGCUCGCUCUUUGAUCAGUGAUUCACCGGCCACUAGAUCGAUGAAGAAUCUCUCUAAAAUCUGCUCUUUGAUCAGUGAUUCACCGGCCACUAGAUCCAGGAAUCCCACCUUAUUCUCAAACCUGGUGGCUCGGUUGAUUGGCACUCCUGUAGGCUCAUCUUGCAUACAAAUUCUGGGGGUCCCAAGUCCUGCAUCCACCAAGAACAUUUCUUCCCUUAAGCAUAAAACUUCAGAUUGUAAGGCGUUUCCACUACAUAAGAAAAAAUGGAACUAGAUCUUGGAAAUGAUCGACUCAAAUAGAUGCUCAUCAUAGGCUUUUUUUUUUCUUCCUCUUCGUGUUCUAUUGAUCAGAAGUAUACAUCAGCGCCACGCCAGUAGAAAGAGUCUUGCUACUAAGCUAAGCUGCUAUUGGGGAACUCGGUAUAAGCGAUUUUCCGCUUCCGCCUUUCUAGGCUUCACAAUAGCUCCCCCUUUUCUUUUCCAAUUCCUUCUUUUCGUUCUACUUAGGUGGAGCAAUCCGAACUCUCGACAGAAUAUAAAAGAGGACCACAGGCCUGUGUAAACACCUCAACGAACUCAUGUGGACACUCCUCAGCCCGAGGACAAUCUCUCAAAUACACAUGUUGAUGUUGUUGACCCGUUUUUCUU